UUCCGGUUGAUCCUGCCGGACCCUACUGCUAUCGGGGUGGGACUAAGACAUGCGUGUCGCAACAUGAGGUCGUGGCAUACGGCUCAGUAACACGUGGCUAACCUACCCUCGAGACAGGGACAACCCCGGGAAACUGGGGCUAAUCCCAGAUAGAUGAGAACCCCUGGAAUGGGUUUUCGUCCAAAAGGUGUGGUGCUCAAGGAUGGGGCCGCGUCCGAUCAGGCUGUUGGUGAGGCAAUGGCUCACCAAACCUAUAACCGGUACGGGCCGUGGGAGCGGGAGCCCGGAGAUGGGAACUGAGACAAGGUCCCAGGCCCUACGGGGCGCAGCAGUUACGAAAACUUGUCAAUGCACGAAAGUGUGAACGGGCUACCCCGAGUGCCGUCCGCUGAGGAUGGCUUUUCUCUGCUGUAAGAAGGCGGAGGAAUAAAGGGGGGGCAAGAUCUGGUGUCAGCCGCCGCGGUAAUACCAGCCCCCUGAGUGGUAGGGACGAUUAUUUGGCCUAAAGCGUCCGUAGCCGGCUCAGUAAGUCUUUCGUCAAAUCCGACGAUUCAAUCGUUGGACCGCGGAAGAUACUGCUAGGCUUGAGGACGGGAGAGGUCGACGGUACUCUUUGGGUAGGGGUGAAAUCCUAUAAUCCUGGGAGGACCACCAGUGGCGAAGGCGGUCGACUAGAACGUGCCUGACGGUGAUGGACGAAAGCUGGGGGAGCGAACCGGAUUAGACACCCGGGUAGUCCCAGCUGUAAACGAUGCGAGCUAGGUGUUGGAGCAACUACGAGUUGCUCCAGUGCCGCAGAGAAGUUGUUAAGCUCGCCGCCUGGGAAGUACGGCCGCAAGGCUGAAACUUAAAGGAAUUGGCGGGGGAGCACCACAAGGGGUGAAGCCUGCGGUUCAAUUGGAUUCAACGCCGGA
rnacentral:rRNA from 1 species